rnacentral:rRNA from 1 species
UACGUAGGGGGCGAGCGUUGUCCGGAAUUAUUGGGCGUAAAGAGCUCGUAGGCGGUUAUGGAAGUCGGAUGUGAAAUACCGGGGCUCAACUCCGGGGCGCCAUUCGAUACUCCAUUGACUAGAGUCCGGUAGGGGAAGGUGGAAUUCCUGGUGUAGCGGUGAAAUGCACAGAUAUCAGGAGGAACACCGGUGGCGAAGGCGGCCUUCUGGGCCGGUACUGACGCUGAGGAGCGAAAGCUAGGGGAGCGAACAGG